GCAGUGGUGGCGCACCCCUUUAAUCCCAGCACUUGGGAGGCAGAGGCAGGUGGAUUUCUGAGUUCAAAUCCAGCCUGGUCUACAGAGUGAGUUCCAGGACAGCCAGGGUUACACAGAGAAACCCUGUCUCAAAGAACAAAACACACACAUACACACAAAAACAAAAAGCCAAACCAAACCAAAACAAAAAAGACCCUGCUAGAAAGACAAAAAGUAAAAUAAAUAAAAAAUAAAAUAAAGCCCCUUUAAAAGUUGAUCAUGUGUGCUGAAGACUGGUUGUAGUGAUUUUUUUUUUUUUUUUUUGGCAAAGGUGCUUGUCUAGCAUGCACAAAGGCCUGGGUUUGAUCCCUAACACUACAUAAAUCAGGGCUGUGGGCCAUGGCCAUGGCUGUGUGCAAUCCUGGCUCUCCAGAGGUGGAGGCAGGAAGAUCAAAUAUUCAGUCAACCUUGGGGUCUAAGGCUAGUCUGAGGUACAGGAGACUUUGUCUCAGAACAAGAAAGCCAGGUGUGGGGGCUGGAGAGAUGGCUCAGCGGUUAAGAGCACUGACUGCUCUUCCGAAGGUCCUGAGUUCAAAUUCCAGCAACCAACCAUCUGUAAUGAAAUCGGAUGCCCUCUUCUGGUGUGUCUGAAGACAGCUACAGUGUACUUACAUAUAAUAAAUAAAUAAAUCC
rnacentral:lncRNA from 1 species